GGCGAACGGGUGCGUAACACGUGGAUACAUUCCGGGAAGCGGGGGAUAGCCCAGGGAAACUUGGAUUAAUACCGCAUGUGGUCGAAAGACUAAAGACGGGGAUCGAAAGACCUGUCACUUCCCGAUUGGUCCGCGGCCUAUCAGCUAGUUGGCGGGGUAAAAGCCCACCAAGGCUACGACGGGUAGCUGGUCUUAGAGGACGACCAGCCACACUGGAACUGAGACACGGUCCAGACACCUACGGGUGGCAGCAGUCGAGAAUCUUUCACAAUGGGGGCAACCCUGAUGGAGCGACGCCGCGUGGAGGAUAAGGUCUUCGGAUUGUAAACUCCUGUCAUGCGCGAACAAGGUUGCAGGGAUAAUACCUUUGCAAAUUGAUGGUAGCGCAAGAGGAAGAGACGGCUAACUCUGUGCCAGCAGCCGCGGUAAUACAGAGGUCUCAAGCGUUGUUCGGAAUCACUGGGCGUAAAGGGUGCGUAGGUGGCAUGGUAAGUCAGAUGUGAAAGCCUGGGGCUCAACCUCAGAAUUGCAUCCGAUACUGCUGUGCUAGAGUACUGGAGGGGUGACUAGAAUUCUCGGUGUAGCAGUGAAAUGCGUAGAUAUCGAGAGGAAUACCAAAGGCGUAGGCAGGUCACUGGACAGUCACUGACACUGAGGCACGAAGGCCAGGGGAGCAAACGGGAUUAGAUACCCCGGUAGUCCUGGCAGUAAACGGUGCAUACUUGGUGUGGGGAAGAUUCGACCCUUCCUGUGCCGGAGCUAACGCGUUAAGUAUGCCGCCUGGGAAGUACGGUCGCAAGAUUAAAACUCAAAGAAAUUGACGGGGACCCGCACAGCGGUGGGAGUUUGUGGCUUAAUUCGAUGCAACGCGAGAACCUUACCUGGUCUUGACAUGCACUGUGUCUCCGAUGAAAGUCCGGAUAGAGUAGCAAUACUCGCUUGCACAGUGCUGCAUGCUGUCGUCAGCUCUGUCUGAGAAGUUGGUUGUGUGUUAAGUUCCCCGCCAACGAGGCGCACCCUGUUGAUUUGUUUGUCCACCCCGCUUACGAGCCUC
rnacentral:rRNA from 1 species